CCUACGGGUGGCAGCAGUGGGGAAUAUUGGACAAUGGGGGAAACCCUGAUCCAGCGACGCCGCGUGAGUGAAGAAGUAUUUCGGUACGUAAAGCUCUAUCAGCAGGAAAGAAAAUGACGGUACCUGACUAAGAAGCCCCGGCUAACUACGUGCCAGCAGCCGCGGUAAUACGUAGGGGGCAAGCGUUAUCCGGAUUUACUGGGUGUAAAGGGAGCGUAGACGGCAGCGCAAGUCUGGAGUGAAAUGCCGGGGCCAAACCCAGGAACUGCUCUGGAAACUGUGAAGCUGGAGUGCAGGAGGGGUGAGCGGAAUUCCUAGUGGAGCGGUGGAAUGCGUAGAUAUUAGGAGGAACACCGGUGGCGAAGGCGGCUUACUGGACCGUAACUGACGUUGAGGCUCGAAAGCGUGGGGAGCGAACAGGAUUAGAUACCCGAGUAGUC
rnacentral:rRNA from 1 species